GUGCUUGCUUCAGCAGCACAUAAACAAAAAUUGGAACAAUAUAAAAAGAGAUCAGCAUGACCCCUACACAAAGGUGACCCCUAAAUUCAUGAAGCAUUCCAUAUUUUU